GAAAGUCGCCGGAUCUGGCGACCGGAUCUUGGUCGGCCGGAUCUGGCGACCAGAUCUUGGUCGGUCGGAUCUGGCGACCGGA
rnacentral:pre_miRNA from 1 species